UCUCCGUUGGUGAACCAGCGGAGGGAUCAUUAUCGAGUUUAUAACUCCCAAACCCUAUGUGAACUUACCACUUGUAGCUUCGGCGCGCGCUUCGGCGCCGCCGAGGACACUUAAACUCUUUGUUUUUAUAAGCAUUUCUGAGUGGCCGAAAGGCAAAAUACAAAUGAAUCAAAACUUUCAACAACGGAUCUCUUGGUUCUG
rnacentral:misc_RNA from 1 species